GAACAAUGGGUAACCAAAUGAGUGUUCCCCGAAGAGCUGAAGCCCAAGAGAAUGACCCGGAAGCAGACACGCACAAGGUCACAUCUGGGGAUGCGUGUGGUCAAAACGGCCUGCCGGCCAUCAUAUCUGGCAGCACCGUUCAACUCUACGAUGAAGUCGAUCUGGGAGUCAGCAUCCAGGAGGAUAAUGUGGCCGCUUCUUCCCCCGAGACAAUGGAGACCGGCGCGGCUGCAGAGGCCAACGGCGAGAGUCUUGGGAAGGAGGCCAAACCCCAGGCACCAGCUGCUAAAUCUCGCUUUUUCUUGACGCUCUCUCGGCCUGUACCAGGGCGUACCGGAGACCAAGCCACGGAUUCAUCCAGUAGGUCCGUGAGGCUUGAUGUCAGCUCCGAUAAAGCUCCAGGAAACAAAGACCCGAGUGAGCCCAUGGCCCUUCCGGUGGCAGCUGCACCCGGGCAUGGCCCGGAUAAAACCCCCGGGCAGACCCCGGCCCAGGCGGAGGGCCUCCCUGCCACCCCUGGGCCGGAGCACCCUCCGUCUGAGUCUGGGGCAGCAGCCCCCGCCAAGCCCAAGGACUCCAGCUUCUUUGACAAACUCUUCAAGCUGGACAAGGGACGGGACAGAGCCCCCGUGGACCUCCCACAGGAGGCUGAGAGCACAGAGCACCCUCACUCGGCCGCCGAAACUCCUGGGUUACCCACGCAGUCCGAGGAUGGCCCUGCAGAGAGGGACUUAGUUGACGGCAAGGGAAAGGGAGGACAGGAAGUCCCAGCUGUGAGCCGCUCCGUCCCCGGGGACCCUGAGCAACUGGAGAUUGCAAAGGAGGACGCCCAGGCAGAGAACAGUUCCAUCAUGAGCUUCUUUAAAACCCUGGUUUCGCCUAACAAAGCUGAAACAAAAAAAGAUACGGAAGACACGGCAUCUAAGGGAGAAAGUGUCUCUGAUGGACAAGCCGGGCAGAAGACAUCCGAGGUCCAGGCUAAAGGCGCCAAGAAAAAGCACCUGCAUAGCCCCAGGCUAGGACUCGCCUUCAGAAAAUUCUUUAGGCAUAAGGGAGAGGAAAAGUCAGCCGCCUCUUCAGCCAACCUCAAGUUAGACAAAGCCAACAUUACGCUCCAGGAGCCCCAGGGGGCCGCCAAGAAUUCGACAGCCACUGAAACAGCAAAGGAUGGUGCCAAGGAAAAAGGGGGCCCCAGCUCUCUGCCUCUGGGCAAACUGUUCUGGAAAAAGUCAGUUAAAGAGGAUUCAGUCCCCACAGGUGCAGAGGAGAAUGUGGUGUGUGAAUCACCAGUAGAGGCUGUAAAGUCCGAGGAAGUAGAAUCAGCCUUACAAACAGUGGAUCUCAGCGAAGAAGGAGCGCGCACUCCUGAGCCUGCAGAAGAAACACCCGGGAGAGAGGAACGCAAAGCCUCGAGGCCCUCCCUGAUGGCGCUCCUCAGACAGAUGUCAGUGAAAGGGGAUGGAGGGAUCACCCACUCUGAAGAAAUAGAUGGGAAAGACGCCAGCUACCAAACCUCGGACCCCACGGAGAAGGUGGUCUCUCCGCCACAGCCGGAAGCGGCAGCUGCGGGCCAGAAGGGCAAAGAAGGCCCGUCCAAGGGCAAGAAGGCCGCCGCGGAGCCCAACAAGCAGAAGGGCGACAAGCAGGAAGCCAAAGAGCCGGCCCCGGGCGUGGAGCCGGCCGCCGCGGAGGCGAACUCGCUGCCGAACGGGGACAAGCCCCAGAAGAGACCCGAGAAGCGGCGGCAGUCCCUCGGGGGCUUCUUCAAGGGCCUGGGACCGAAGCGGAUGCUGGAUGCUCAAGUGCAAACAGACCCCGUGUGCAUCGGGCCAGCGGGCAAAUCCAAGUAAACAAACUUCACGGCUCCCAUCAGGUUCCGCCACCGAGAUGUCUCCUCCCGACUCCGUCUCCCCCGAAACCCUCUCCAUGUGUAUACUUUUUCUUCUGAUGGCCAUCCCAUGAAAGUCUGCCUCCGAAUUAAGCCUGAGCUGUUGUAUAUUGAGGUGUAUUAUUUACGGCUGUGGUCCAGUCUUCCCUGGUAACUAACUGUAAAGAUGGCUUAGCAGGUUAACUAGCCAGGUCUGAAGAUGGGUCCCAAGCAGGGUCGGGGAGGGGCAGAGAGGGCUGCGUUCUGGUUAAGUUAUGAAAAAUGGCCAGGGGCAAGUAAGUUGCAGAAGGGAAAAGACUGCUGGAAGGAAUUAAGCUUCGUAGUCAAGGCGUGCUCAUCCUCUCGGCUUGAAGAGGAGAGGCGAAAAUCCGUUUGUUCAAGUUCACGUUUCAAGGAGGGAGACCGUGGGCUGUGUGUUGUUGGGAGGUUGCCAGUUUUCUGGAAUGGAAUGUGUGGGGAAUGACAAAGGAAUGGAUGAGAGUUGUUUUUCAAAUAGGGUCCUUGAACGUUAUUGACGGGAGGGGAAAGAUCGACUGGAGAGGACUUGACAUGAUUUGGGAAAACAAUUGCUUUUUGAGGCUCAGUGACAAGGGCCAGGAUUACAACUUCAAAAAAAAAAAAAACCAAACACCCCAAACCAAACCAAAUAAAAGACGUUGCGAGUUUAUUUUUGCA
rnacentral:lncRNA from 1 species